CAGAACCACCACCACUUGCAUCUUCCUCCAUUAAUUCCAUUACCCCUUCUCCUCCGUACACUGAGCACAAACUCACCACCAUUAACUCUUAAUUCUCCAUCUCUCUCUAUCUUAUCUCUAUUCUUAUCAAGAACAGUAACCCUAAAAGAUAAGAUUUAGAGAGGUAGAGUUAGGUUAGCUGAAUAAUUGGGGGAGCAUCGAUUCAAUGAAGUUGCAGGGAAAUUGAAGGCAGAAAAAGUCAAUGGAGUAUGGUUGGGAUGUAAGAAGACAUGGAGUUUGAGCUGAUGGUGAAGCUAAGAAAUCCAAGGAACUGUACGAGCUAGCUGUUGUUGUUGCCUGGUUUAACAAUGCAGAAAUGAGGAUGAAUGUUAGCUCAAGGAACUGGUGGUGAUGUUUGAAGUUGUGACUGAGUUGCAUAACACAGGGUGUUGAGAUGCAGAUGGCAAGUUUUGGUGAAUCUGUGGCAGUUGCAGCUGCAGGUGACUAAAUGUGCUGAGAUUACAGUUACAGGUUGAAUAUUGAAAUGGUGGUGCUAGGAUGGAGCUGUUGGUGGAUGAUGGCAGGUGGAAACUGGUAGGUGAUGCUAUUUAGAUGGAUGCCUAGGUCCUGGUGGUGCGGAGUUGCAGUUGUAGGCUUGGAACUGCAGUAAUAUCCAUGGCUUGGGGAAAUAGUGAUGUCACUGUGCUGCAGGUAAGUUACAGUGAAGCCAAGGAAGAUUGCAAGGUUGGGUUGUUAUGAGAAUUACAGGAAAUGUGCAAAGUUGUGUAGAUGCUGCAGCAAAGAAGAAGCCUAAUGCAAGGCAGAGAAGAUAAUGCAUUUGGCUGCUACAGAAGUUGGUGGCAGCUGAGUAAGCAGUGAAGCUGGGGAAUGGUUGUUGUUGCAAGGAAUUGGAAGAUAGAUGUAUGCUAGGCUGUGCACAGGCUGUUGUUGUUAAUUGUAGUGAGCGCAAAGGCAAUGCAGUGGAUUGGAAAUGAUGAUUGCAGGCGGCUAGUCAUGCUGUUUGUAGUUUGAAGCUGCAGAAUAGAAGGUGAACUGCAGAGAUUGAUGAUUGGUGGACGACAGGGAAGAUGCAGUUUGCAAUGGAGAGGAGGAUGAGCUGAAGAUAAUGCUGUUGCCGUGUGAGAUGAGAACAGAAAUGGGAGGAAGAAUUGGCGAAGAAAAUUGAGCUCGAGUCCAUGGUAACCUGACUGUGGUUGCAAGUUGGUGCAAUGACUUGCAGAGGAGGAAGUGCAGCAUUGAUGUUGAAGCACAAUCAUGGUGCAACAGUGGGUUGGCCUGGCAAGAUGGCCUGCAAGCUUAAGCCAUGACAAGUUAGACCCUGACUCGGCUGAGUUGUCUUGACUCAGAGCUGACUCCUUUGACCGUUAUGUUUGACCGGUGAUCGGGUGGACUUUGCCGUCCACCUGAGCUCUUUUCCGAUCACUUCUCCGGCCAAAUUCCGACCAUUUUACCAGUUUUCCGGCGAACACUUUUGGGGUAUAUUUUCUACAUGGGUAUUUUCACAUAUGGACUUGGUGGACCACAUUGGAUAUGGGCUUUUGGAGGAUUGACUUAGUUUUGAAAAGAGGAAAGGCUACAAAAAGGAAAGUUUUCUACAACUUUGAAUCACGUAUUUUUUCUACUUGGAGUUUUGGAGAGCGGCGAUUCUACUAGGGGUUGCUUUCGUAUAUUUUUCAUUUCUUUAUUUUAUGAAAAUGAUUAUGAUGAACUCCAUUAAUAUGAGUAGCUAAACAAAUAAUAUUGGUUACGGAAUAAAGUGGAUUUCACAAAUGGUAUUUGAUUCAAUGAAUUAGUUUUGUCUCAACUUUAUUGUUUAUGAUUCA